ACCACCACCCUGACAGCACGUAUGGGUAAAAGUCUCCUUCAGGAGAGGGAGAGAAGGAAAAGCAGAUGGGCUCACGCCAUAUCUAACAGCAGGACAGGGUCUGCAUGACUCACUGGAAUUAAACAACAGGUGUGACAUGGCUGUCCCAGAACAGGAGGUGGGCACCAACAGUAGCACCUGAGCCCAGUGAUGAGAGCUUCGUAGUAACAGAAGAAAAGAAGCAACAGCAAGAAUGCCUGCAGUCUGCAAUCCCCUGCUCUGACACAGCCGAUUCACCACACCCUGGGCUACUCAAAUCGCUAGUGUGGGAUACAGGAGUUGUCAUUAUACAUGCUGAGAAAAGUGAAGAGAAAAAAAAUGUCUGGAAGCUUGUACAUUCAUUAUUAAAGAUAAACGUUGCUACAAAAGGACAUAAUUUAGAGCUGUAGACCUUUGAUUGGUCUAUAGUGCCAAAUAAGUGUAAAAAAAUAAAAUAGUAAUGCUGCAUUCACUAGAGUUUGUAACGUGUAAUUAUCGACCUCCAACAAGGAUAAGGCCAUAGAACUUGAAAUCCUGACUCAUGAACUCGGGGCAGUCUUCUCAACGGAUACUUCCUCCAAGUUCCCAGGAAGUGAUGUCAAAUCAACACGGCUGUCCCCAGCAUCAAAAGUAAGCAAAUCGGUACUUCUUUCCUUUAAAUGAGUAUUUGCUUUAGAUCAAUCAACAUACUGACAUAGUCACUUGUUAAAUCCACAACACUGACUGUACAAAUAGCUGUCUGAGAAGAAAAAUCACAUCCUCAUUACAUCACAUCCUCACAAUUAGCUGGCUAGCUUGUCCUAUCAAAAGAAGAACACGGAGGCGUUCGUGGGUUUCCGCCACUUUGUAUCUAGAAUGCACAAGCAAAAUUCGUCCCCAAAUGACAUGUAGACUCCGGGCCAAAAAUUAAUUGACAUUUAUAUUUGGAAAAAUCUGGGUUCGCUGUGGGUGGUGUGGUGGUGUAACAGGUUUUGUUGCCACCUCAGAGUUCCAGGUUCCGCGGAUAGAUCACAUAGGUUAGUCUGUGUGGAGUUUCGGACAAUGUUCUCCCUCUCAGUUCUCUGCUUUCCUCUCACCACCCAAAAACAACUAAGUAGACCUGUGCAACAGACUGCCGCCACAUCACAUCCAGGGUUCACUGGGUUGACCAUAUGCAAAACCCUUCUUUGCAGUGCCACUAUCAUUAAUCUAACUAGCAGUCAUAUUAAUGUAAGAAUGAUCAAGAAAAACGACCAAGUAUAUGUCUCAACCAGCUCCUUAGUUCAGUAGGUAGUGAAUCAGUAUAUCGUGUACACGAGUUUGGGCACUGGUAAGGAAGGACUGAAUUUCCGGUGACAUGUCACCAAAAAAUAAAAACCUAAAACUAUUUGAUUGAGACAACGCUUAAAAUGGCCGACUCCCAGAUCAGUGCUCUGACUCCUGAUCUAGGGAGCUGGUUGAGACAUUAUCUAGUAUAAUAAACUCAUUCAGCAUUGCAGUAGUGAUACAGUGCUGUACAUCCUAGUCAUGUAAAACACAUUUGUAGUGUCUAUCAGGUGUAUAUUCUGAUAUUUUGUCCAGUCACUGAUGUCUUUAGUCACUGACAAGGUACAGAAGUAUACAGGUCUGUGAGUUCCUUAUGUUUUACUGACAAGGCAUAAAAAAAGGGGCGGGGGAGGGGGGGGGGUGUCUUCAAUUGAAAACAAUAGCUAACGUUUUCUCCUAGCUGUGAGAUAAACAUCACCCAGGGGAGCUGUAGGAAUAGGGAGACAUGAGAACGUGAAUGAUGUACAUGAAACAGACGGCUGGCAGAGUUGUAGGGGAGAGACAAAAUCUGUUUAAUGAGAACCUCAAUGAUAGCAGUUCUGUCGUUAUUUACUUCACAAUGAAAGUAUAUUAGGCAAAUUCUCUACCUAAUUCACUAUUAAAAGGCCCAACCUUUAAAAUUCUCCCACAUUUAAUCAAUAGUAGGACGAUUCAAUGUCAAUGUUAAUAUGUUAGAUUACUGGGUGAACAAUAGGCCAAUGCCCUUGAUAACAGCAUCUGAGUCAGUCUUUGAGGCUAACCUUGAGGUCCUGUACCAUUACCAUUUUUUUUUUUUUUAAAUGCUGUUUGCUAUCAAAAGCAGGAAAUCUGAUAUAGCUGUCCUUUUGGAGAAACCUAAUUUGGGCCACCUCAUGGCUAUUCGUUUAAUAAGAAAAAGGCAGUGACUUUGGAAAAUGUGUGUCCCCAUGGACUGGCGUCUCAUCCGGGGUAUAUUCCCGCUUCACAUCCAUUGCUCCUGGGAUAGGCUCCAGAUCCACUCCGGAUUCACAUUCGGGACAGGCUCCAGAUCCAAUGUGAUCAGCACGACUGAUCUGGGCCAAUUUUUCCAGUUGUUGGAUUAGUAUUAUUACUACUGUAGUAUGUAAUGUUACACACACAGAGAGCAGAAAUGGAGCUCUAAAAGGUCAGCAGACAUGAAUAAAAGGAACCCAUCGAUAUGUAGUAAACAGCAAUGAUUUCACAUGCCUAGUUGUUUUUGGAGAAUAUAAAACUGAAAAGCUGAGAGUGGUUUAUCCAUACAGAUCUGCACGGUGUGUGUGCGCGUGUGUGUGUGUCUGUGUUCAUCCCACCACAUGUGGUGUAAUCAAUCACUCAGUGUUUUAUUGAUUUAGCCUCCCUCAUGCUACACACUGACCUUAAGGACUUCAAAUACUUCAAACGUUGUGGAUCAACAAACCAGGAACCAAACAGAUGAGCCACUGGCAUGCUCCAGGACAUGAAGGCUUCCUUCUUUCUUUCUAUCUAUCUAUCUGUUCAAGCAUAUAGGGAUGUCGCAUAGUUUUAUUUAAACAUACUUUUUCUCACGCAAAAAACGUUAUCAGCAUCUUCAACAUUAAAUUUGGAGAAGCCUCUAACGAACAACACCACCAAACUUCUUCCUGUGAUGUCUAAUAAUGUUGAAGACCCUGGACCAUCCGCCGUGCAGGACAUUUUAAGAUCCUAAAUCCUUAAGUUCCUGCAUGUGGACUGCCCUCUUCAAUUCAGAAUACACACUGAAAUCCAAGAGUUAAAGCUAGUCUUUGCAAAAACUUGAUUUUAUGUUCCUUCACCAUUUCUGUGUUGAUUUUUUAUUUUAUAUAUUUUUUUUAAAAGGGGUCAUUAUCUUGUGGAAAGAUUUGUCUACAGUCAAGUCCUAACCUCCCGGCAACCACAUUUUAGACUAAAAUAUCAACUUACUUAGCAAAAUUCGAACUUUUGACAUGGCCGUCCCACUCCACAGACCUAAACCCGACUGAAAACCUGUGAGGUGAGCUGAAAAGAGUUCUUCUUUAUUGAAGGAGGACUCUUCAUUGAAGAGUGCUCUUAGAUUCCUUGCUCUGCUUUUUUCCAAUCUCAUCUCUGAAUCUCCAAUCUCUGAGAAGAAAGUGGCAUUAUGUUUGCAAAUAUAGGUUGCAAAGUACACAUGCAGUAAAAUGUAGAAGUGCUACUAAUUAUGACAUAGUUUUGUGUGUGUAUACACACAGAUCAGCCAUAACGUUAAAACCACCUGCCUAAUAUCGUGUAAAUCCUCCUUGGGCCAGCAAAACAGCUCUGACCUAUCGAGGCAUGGACUCCACAAGACCUCUGAAGGUCUGCUGUGGUAUCUGGCACCAAGACGUUAGCUGCAGAUCUUUAAAGUCUUGCAAGUUGCGAGGUGGGGUCUCCGUGGAUCGGACUUGUUUGUCCAGUACGUCCCACAGAUGUUUGAUCGGAUUGAGAUCUGGAGGACUUGGAGGUCGAGUCAACACAUUGAACUGUGUGUCAUGAUCCUCAAACCGUUCCUGAACAGUUUGUGCAGUUUGGCAGGGCGCAUUAUCCUGCUGAAAUGGGACACUGUGAUUAGUGAAUAGCGUUGCCAUGAAGGGGUGUACUUGGUCUACAGCAGUGUUUAGGUAGGUUAUACGUGUCAGAGUAACAUCCACAUGAAUGCCAGGAACCAAGGUUUCGCAGCAGAACAUCGCCCAGAGUAUCACACUGCCUCCAUUGGCUUCCCAUAGUACAUCCUGUUGUCAUCUAAGCCACAGGUAAGCACACGCACCCGGCCGUCCACAUGAUGUACAAGAAAACGUGACUCAUCAGACCUAGGCCAUCUCCUUCCAUUACUCCAUGCGUAUACAGGGGUCAACAUGGGCACUCUGACUGCAAGCUGCGAUGCACUGUGUGUUCUGAGAUCUUCCUAUAAUAGCCAACAUGAACUAUUUAGCAAUUUGUGUUACAGUAGCUCUUCUGUGGGAUCUAACCAGACGGGCUAGCCUUAGCUCCUCAUCAGUGAGCCUUGUGCACCCAUGACCCUGUCGCUGGUUCACCGGUUGUCCUUCCUUUUUUGGUAGGCAGUGUUAUUCAAUUUCACCUGUCAGUGGUUUUAAUGUUAUCGCUGAUUGAUGUAUAUCGAAAAUUUGUGAAACUGCUAUGUUUGAUUUGUGUCAUACUUACAGAAAAUAAAGGCCAUUUAAUAUUAUUUCCAAAGGGAAAAUAUUGGUCUAUAUCAGACACCAUAAAAGCUGCUGAGGAACCUCAUAAAACUCUCAGAACGGAGAUUGUUCCAUAAGCAGACAGCACAGUAGAUGAAUGGUCACUAACAAUGCUAACAUGUCACACGUCAGCUAAUCUGUCAUGUCUGGGACAGGCAGGAGGAUGACAGAUAGGGCAAUCAGGACUCGCGGCCAAACAGAACGACAGCACGCAAGACGCAUGGCAUGCACCACUAAUCAAAAUGGCAGACGUUCAGGAGGGUAGUGGCGAAAAGCAUUCUUCAUUACUCCAGUGCACUAAAAACAGGCAAUGAUAAUGGCUCCAUGCUCAGCUUAGUGUGUGAUCGCCCACCUGCUACCAAGAAGAAAACGAAUGAACAAAUGAGCUGAUUCAGUGUUCAGACACCUGACGCAUGAUGAAAUGGUAAAAGUGUCUCAUCAUGUUUGGUCACCUUCCUGUUGGACUGGGCGUUGGCUGACACUGAUCUUCAUCUUCUGCUCAGAAAAGGUCAGCUCAGUUCACAACGUGUGUGUGUUGGAGUCGACACGUCUCUUCAGACAGCACUGAAAGGUCAGCUUCAAAGCUCAGCGCACUUCAAAGAAUCAAACACAUUGUUGCUGACUGGGGGUGGGGGCUGCCAUGAUGGACACGCACAUAUACAGGUGCAUCUCAAAAUAUUUGAAUAUGGUGAAAAAAAUCAUUUUUUCUUGUAAUUUAAUUCAAAAAGUGUAACUUUCAUAUAUUCUAGAUUCAUUACACAUAAAGUGAAACAUUUCAAGCCUUUUUUUUUAGUUUUAAUCUUGAUGAUUAUGGUUUACAGCUCAUGGAAAUCAAAAAUCCAGUAUCUCAAAAUAUUAGAAUAAAUAAUUUAUAAUACAGAAAUGUCAACCUGAGAAGAGCUCUAAUCAGCUAAUUAACUCAAAACAUCUGCAAAGGUUUCGUGAGCCUUUAAUCUCUCAGUCUGGUUCAGCACACACAACCACAAUCACGGGGAAGAUGAAAGUAAAUGUUGCAUUUCAUUUGGAAAUCAAGGUCCCAGAGUCUGGAGGAAGGGUGGAGAGACACAGAAUCCAAGUUGCUUGAAGUCCAGUGUGAAGUUUCCACAGUCAGUGAUGAUUUGGGUUGCCAUGCCAUCUGCUGGUGUCGGUCCACUGUGUUUUCUCAAGUCGAGAAUCAAUGCAGUGUCUACCAGGAGAUUUUAGAGCUGACAAGCUUUAUGGAGAUACUGAUUUCCUUUUCCAGCAGGACUCGGCACCUGUCCACAGUGCCAAAACUACAAGUAACUGGUUUGCUGACCAUGGUAUUACUGUGCUUGAUUGGCCAGACAACCCACCUGACCCGAAGCCCAUAGAGAAUCUACGAGAGACACCAGACCCAAUAAUACAGACGAGCUGAAGACUGCUAUCAAAGCAACCUGGGCUUCCAGAACACCUCAGCAGUGCCACAGGCUGAUUGCCUCCAUACCACGCCGCAUUCACGCCGUAAUAGAUGCAAAAGAACCCCCGAGCAAGUAUAGAAUUAUACGAAAGCUCCACUUUUUGAAUGAAUUAAAUUACAGAAAAAAAUGACAUUUUCCACCAUCUUCAAAUUUUUCGAGAUGCACCUGUAUAGAUCUGUCCACAUAUUGUGCACGCUGAAAGUGAGUUUUCUCUCUAUUGUGUAUCAAUGAAGUUAUUUCACCAAAGAUAAAAGGUCCAUAUUUGCAUGUUUAUUGUUGUACUUUUAGUACAGUUAGUACAUUUUGUCCACGUCCACCCCCUCCAAGUAGCUAACUGUCUGAUUUGAGCAGUACACAAUAAAUAAAUGAUUUUCAUUUCACACUGUGAGAAAGAUUACAUCAUCCAACCAAACACUAAGGGCAGCAAAACGGUCGCGUCCAAGAGGUAAAGAAUUUCAACACCCAGGAAGCUCAAACAGUUUAGAGUCUUGGCAUGCUGCCCUUAGGUUUAAACCAAUAGCACAAACCUCACUGGAUAUGCACUAUGUUGCACUAUGCUUUGCUGUUACUAUGGUUACCGUGCGAUUGUUCGUCUGCCGUAUCAAAAGCUGUGCUAAACGGGAACUCGCAAAGCAGAGGGAGACAGGUGGAGUGGAGAUAGAUUUGUCACCUGACAUGUCUAAAGCCUCAGCGUUCAUACAGUCCACUUUAACGUUCAGAGAUUCCCGAUAUCACUGUCAAUCAUCUCAAUCCUCCCAACACCUACCAUGUAGGCUGAAAGACCUGCACUUACAUGAAAAACUCACACUCAAACUCAGAGUACUCUGAUUUUUUUUUUUAAAGUGGGGUGGGGACUUCAUUAAUAUGCAGGUACAGAAACACUGUGUAGCCCAAACGCAUGACAAAUUAAUUGGCACAGACACCCACACACACACACACACACACACACACACACACACACACACACACAAGAACCAGGAAUCGUCUCCAGCUUUGCUCAAUCUAGCAGCCCGCCAUAAAACUGAUUAUCACACUUAUUACAUAAUCUCUAACAAAAUCACACUGUGUGCGUUCAGUUCAUUACAACAAAAUUACAGCAUUAAACAUCAGAGUGGCGCAGCGCGAGUGACAACAGCCACCCCAUCGGUCAUUCUGGACUGCACGGCUUUAAAACCAAAGGCGUUUCCUGCGCAGUUCUCGUCGUCCAUCUUGUGCAGCCUGUAGCUGUAGAUCAAAGUGUUUGUGCAGCUCAUUAUACCGACGUGAGGAACCAUAAUGAACACAAAUGUUGUGGAUUUUCACUGGCCUACUGUCUCGUGUCACGCUGAUAAGUAAACAGUGUUGUAAUUACAGCUAGCCUGUGCUGUGGAGAGGAGUUUUUGUGUUGGAUCGAGUGUGAGCUCAAGGUUGUCAGUGAAAAGCUGAAACGCUUGUGAACAUGAAGACGCAAAGAGAGAGAGAGAGAGAGAGAGAGAGAGAGAGAGAGAGAGAGCGAGAGAGAGAGUUUCUCUUUCUGAUACGUUCUUUUGUGAGUUAAAUUUUUUUUUUUAUUAAAUCGGGCGAUUGUGAGUGGUCCAUUUCGGGGUAAGCAAUAUGAUAAACGAUAAAUUGUUUGGCCUGGUGGUUCCUCCUAAUAAAAAAAUUAAUCACUACACAACAGAAAUGGCACAAAAGUGCAUACAUUUACGGCAUUUGGCAGACGCCUUUAUCCAGAGUGAUUUACAUUUGAUUUCAUUCAUACAUUUGAGUAGUUGAGGGUUAAGGGCCUUGCUCAAGGGCCCAACAGCGGUGGCUUGGCAGUGCUAGGGGUUGAAAUCACAUCCUUCCAAUCAAUAGCCCCAUGUCUUAACCACUGAGCAUAGGUGUGGGCCCUCAUUUUAAAGCAGAUCUGCACAGCCUGAAACGUUCCACCAGAGCAGAUUGAAUAUUGUAUAUUACGACGCCAUCAUGUCUUUCAGAUCAUAUCCCUCUGUUCCUAAAACAAUGUCGCAAAGCCGAUGUCUCUGGACCCGAAUGAAUUCGCUUGACCCGGUUUAAUUAUAAACACAAUGCAGGUUAUAAAAUUCAGAGCACAAGCUCAGUGCCCACACUCUCAUCAUGGAAAAUGGCAGGCAGAGAAACACUCGGCUAGUCGGAGAGUAAAGACUGUGUGCUCACUGCAUGACGUGGGGGAGGCCAAGCUGGAGACACACUUUCUUUCUUCUGUAACACAUCCACCUACGCAUGAGAAAGGGCCACACCCUUUCUCAUGCCUAUUCAAUAGACUUUAUGUGAAUAGUGCCUUGGGAUGUACUGGCUUCCCACCUGAGGUGAAUUCUCCCACCUUAAUAGUAGUAGUAAUAGUAGUAGUAGUAGUAGUAGUAAUAAUAAUAAUAAUAAUAAUAAGUAGAAGUAAGCAGUAUCCAUAGCAAUAAAUAGCAAAUAGUAGUCGUAGCACUAGUAGUAGUCAUAGUAGUUGGUGAAGUGUUUAUUUUAUUAUUCCUACGUCAUCACUAAAUAAGCAUCUUUAUGGAAAAAUUAUUUUAUAUAUAUUAAUAAAACAAACAAAUAAUAUUUGUUUAUAGUAUAUUACAGCAAUACAUUUAAAAUGUUUUCAAUAUUUUAGGACAUAUAAAAAUUGUGUCGACAUUUGAUGAUCUGUAAUCAUUUUGGAAAUCACAGAUUUCUUUGCAAACUAAUAUUGUUUAACUGAUUCAGCUUUGAAUCUUUCUGGUGACCUGGUCGUCCAGCAGUCUUGAUCCUUACCUUUGCUGCGUAUUCCAAACUGUGGCAUGGGUGUGACUACAAAAUCGCUGUUGAAGCAUUUUAAUCAGAAAUUCGUGGUUCAUUUCAACCAAUUAUUUAUUUAUUUUGUAAAAAUAUUUUGAACUCCCUCUUGCCUCUCAAAAAUAGAGGAGGAGCAACCACCUCUGCCUCUAUGGACCAGCCUCCUCUGUCCACUGUUGAGGACAUUUCUACGGUACAUCAUGCAAUUUAGCUAACAAACUGUCUGUAAAAGAGUAGGAAAAUAAACAAAACAAACAAAAAAAAGUUCAAUGAGUUUGACGAUACUUUAGUGGUACUCAUAGAAGUAGUAGCACUAGUAAUAGUAGUAGUGGUAGUAGUAGUAAGUAAUAUUAGUAGUCAUAGUAGUAAAUAACAAUUAGCAGUAGUAAGUACUAGUCGAAGUAUUAAGUAGUAGUACUAGUAUACACUCUAUAUAGUGCUUUUAUCCAAAGUGCUUUACACUGUGUCUCAUUCACCCAUACACACACACACACUCACGGUAGCAGAGCUGCCAUACAAGCCGCUAACUUGCCAUCAGGAGCAACUUGGGGUCAGUGUCUUGCCCAAGGACAAUCCGGCAUGUGGACUCAUGCGGGCCGGGAAUCGAACCGCCAGCCCUACGAUUAGUGGACAACCCGCUCUACCACCUGAGCCACAGUUGCCCAUAGUAUUAGUAGUAGUAGCAGUAGUAAUAGUAGUAGUGGUAGUAGUAAUAGUAGUAGUAGUAGUGGUAGUAAUAGUAAUAGUAGUAUAAUAAGUAGUAGUAAUGGUAGUAAUAGUAUUAGUAGUAGUAAUAGUAGUAGUAGUAGUAGUAAUAGUAAUAGUAGUAGUAAUAGUAGUAGUAGUAGUAGUAGUAAUAGUAAUAGUAGUAGUAGUAGUAAUAGUAGUAGUAAGUAAUAAUAGUAGUCAUAGUAGUAAAUAACAAAUAGCAGUAGGUCGCACCACAACAAUUAUUUGCUCUCGCACAAAUGCUCCCAAAUGUAUUUUGAGGUUGCACAGAUUAAAUUUCAGGAGCAUAUGAAACCAAAAUGGUCGCAAUUUCGAGCCUUGCCUGUGAUGGACUGGCGUCCCACCUGAGGUGAAUUCUCCCGCCUUUUGCCCAGUGUUACCGGGACAGACUCAGAGACGCUGAUCUUUUAAAAUGUUAUCAUUAAUACAGUUACAUCAGAGCUGUUUUGUUAAUAUUUUUGAAUAAUACUAUUUUUUUUUUAGAUUGAUAUUUUGAGUGGGCGGGGGGCCCUGUGGCCCUGUGUGUGCGGAGUUUGCAUGUUCUCCCCGUGCUGCGGGGGUUUCCUCCAGGUACUCUGGUUUCCUCCCCCAGUCCAAAGACAUGCAUGGUAGGCUGAUUGGCAUGUCCAAAGUGUCCGUAGUGUAUGAAUGGGUGUGUGAGUGUGUAUGUGAUUGUGCCCUACGAUGGAUUAGCACCCCGUCCAGGGUGUACCCUGCCUUGUGCCCGAUGCUUCCUGGGAUAGACUCCAGGUUUCCCCGUGACCCUGAAAGGAUAAAGCGGUAUAGAAGAUGGAUGGAUGGAUUGUUAUUUUGAAACUGUUUUCUUAAUGAUUUGAUAACACUGUGCUGCAUUAAGUUCUAAAACAGACAAAUGUGCACUGAAUUAAAUCAUAUUAUAAAUCAAACUGACUAGAUUGGAGGGAGAGCGAGGGAGAGAGAGGGAGAGAGAGAGAGAAAGAGUGUGGGGGAGAGAGAGAGAGAGAGAGAGAGUGGGGGACAGAGAGAAAGCGAAUGGGGGAGAGAGAGAGAGCAAGAGAGAGAGUGGGGAAGAGAGAGAGAGAGUGGGGAGACAGAGACAGUGAGAGUGGGGGACAGAGAGAGAGAGUGGGGA
ensembl:lncRNA